AACACAUGCAAGUCGAACGCCCCGCAAGGGGAGUGGCAGACGGGUGAGUAACGCGUGGGAAUCUACCCAGAUCUUCGGAACAACUGAGGGAAACUUCAGCUAAUACCGGAUACGUCCUACGGGGGAAAGAUUUAUCGGUUCUGGAUGAGCCCGCGUUGGAUUAGCUAGUUGGUGAGGUAACGGCUCACCAAGGCGACGAUCCAUAGCUGGUCUGAGAGGAUGAUCAGCCACACUGGGACUGAGACACGGCCCAGACUCCUACGGGAGGCAGCAGUGGGGAAUAUUGGACAAUGGGCGAAAGCCUGAUCCAGCCAUGCCGCGUGAGUGAUGAAGGCCUUAGGGUUGUAAAGCUCUUUCAGUAGGGAAGAUAAUGACGGUACCUACAGAAGAA
rnacentral:rRNA from 1 species